rnacentral:lncRNA from 13 species
AUGGCUGCAGCCAUCACUCAGCCCAAACCUGCGGUCCUUCAUGGACAGCAGCAGGGAACCCGCGGCUUGAAGCAGGCUCGUCCGUAUUCAGAUCCAGCCGCUUUAGCCUUGACCCCCCCCUCCAAAAGAAAGUUGGUGCCAGGCUAUCCCAGGCAAAUUCUAGGCCAGGCUAUCCCAGGCAAGGCAAGGCAAGGCUAUUCCAGGCAAGGCUAUUCCAGGCAAGGCAAUUCCAGGCAAUGCCAGGCAAGGCAAGGCAAGGCAAGAGACAGCAAUGCAAUCCCAGGCAAGGCAAUGCAAUCCCAGGAAAGGCAAUUACAGGAAAGGCAAUUUCAGGCAAGGCAAGGCAAGACAAGGCAGGGAAAGGAAAUUCAAGGCAAGGCAAUUGCAGGUAAAACAAGGCAAGGUAAUUCCAAGGAAGGUAACUCCAGGCAAGGCAAGGCAAGGCAAUUCCAGGCAAGACAAGGCAAGGCUAUUCCAGGCAAUGCAAGGAAAGGAAAGGCUAAAAUUUCCAGGCAAGGCAAGGCAAGGCAAGGCAGGGCAGGUCAGAGCAAAGCAGGGCAGGGCGGGGUGGAGUGGGGUGGGGCAGAACAGGGCGGGGCAGGGCAGGGCAAGGCAAGGCAGCAAGACAAAAGGCAGCAAGGCAAAAGGUGGCAAGGCAAAAGGCGGCAAGGCAAAAGGCAUCAAGGCAAAAGGUGGCGAAAGGUGGCAAGGCAAAGGGCGGCAAGGCAGAAGAAGAAGAAUGCAGGCAAGGAAAAAGAAAGAAAAAAAAGCAGGCAAGGAAAAGAAGAAGGCAGGCAAGGCAAAAGAAGAAGAAGGCAGGCAAGGCAAAAGAAGAAGGCAGGCAAGGCAAAAGAAGAAGAAGGCAGGCAAGGGAAAAGAAGAAGGCAGGAGAGGCAAAAGAAGGAAGAAGAAGGCAGGCAAGGCAAAAGAAAGGAGAAGAAGGCAGGCAAGGCAAAAAAAAGAAGAAGAAGGCAGGCAAGGCCUGAGGUUUGAGAAUAAUUGUCUUUGGUUCCAAGUCAAAUCUUCUCUACACAUUGGGAUGAGGGUUGGGCCCCCUUGAUUUUGCUGGGUGUAUCCCAGGAAGUAGAUAUCACAGGCAAGAGUCUCUUGUAUGAAGCCCUCUACAGGUGGCAUCUCACACUGCUGGAUCUACAUUAGCAUUUUGGUGACAACCCAUCCCCCAAAGUUCUACUAGAAAUUGCCCUCAUGGAUAAACUCUGUGGUGACCCUUUUCUUGUGUCAAUUCUGUAUGAACCCUCAGCCUCUCUUAGGCAUCUUUUGAAAUCUGUAGUAGGUAAGCCUACAAAAUUAGCACCCAGUAGACACUGCCAAAGUUUAUAUCCUGAACCUUCUGGAGUGGUGGCUGGAGCCACAUAUGAGAUCCUUUAAGCCACUUAUGAAAUGAUAAGACUUGCUGCUCAGGAAUGUAGGCAUCAGGGACUUGAAGUAGCUCUAGACAUUGAGCAUCAAUGUGUCAAAGGCUUCCAGGGUCCAGCUUUCAGUGUAAUUCUAUCCCCUAGAUACUGGCAUUCUGGACCUGUGAUGGGAGAAGCAGCACCCGUAAUCUCCAAGGUGCCAUUAGGCUCAUUCUUUUAUUGUCUUGAUGAAUUGUCUUGCUGAAGAAGCAGUUGGCCUCUUCUAUACAUACUAGUCUCUUUAUCAAAUGGUUACUUGGCUAUAUUUUCAGUUUUCUCUUGUUGACUUGCCUUUUCUUUCUUAAAAACAAAGCAACUCAGAUUUUUAAAAAUACUUACAUUUUGGUUAUCUUUUAUAAAUUAUGUCUUCUUUUAUUCAUCAACUAUUAUUUUAAGUUCCAGGGUACAUGUGCAGGAUAUGCAGGUUUGUUAUAUAGGUAAACAUGUGCCAUUGUGAUUUGUUGCACAGAUCAACUCAUCACCUAGGUAUUAAGCCCAGCAUCCAUAAGCUUUAAGUCGCUUCUUUCUAUUAUUAGGUCAGAGGAGCCAUGCACCAUCCUCAACAACAAGUUACUGCUUAGAUAUUUCUUUUAACAAAUACUCUAGUUCAUGAUUCUAAAAUUCUGCCUUCACAAACUGCUGGGACAUAAAGACAAUUCAGCCAAGUUCUUUACCACUUUAUAUAAAGGAUGGCCCUUCCUCCAUCGUGCAAUACCAUGCUCCUUGUUUCCAUCUAAGACCAUACCAGAAUUACUCCUAGUGUCUAUGUUGCUAACAAGGUUAUGUUUACAUUUACUUAAGUAACUCAGAGAUGAUGUAGGCUUGGCUGUUAGCUCUCCUUCUUCUGAGCCCUCAUCAGAAGAGCCCUUAGCUCUCCUUUAAUGGCAAUUUAGACUUUUGUAGCCUCUUCUUUCAAACCCACCCAGCCUCUGUUCAUUACCCAGUUCCAAAGCGGACACACAUUUUUAGGUAUUUGUUAUGGUAAGAAUACCACUUCUGGUACCCGUUUAUAUCUUAGUCUUUAUUGUGCUGCUAGAACAAAGUACCUGAGAUGAGGGAAUUUGUAACUGACAGAAAUGGAUUUUCUCACAGCUCUAGAGACUAAGUUCAAUAUCUUGGUGCUUGCACUUUGCAAUGGCCUUCUUACUGUGUCAUCUCAAGGUGAAAGACUGAGUGACAAGAAAAGGAAAGGGAAAUAAAAGGGGCCAUUUUAUAAUGGCA